rnacentral:lncRNA from 1 species
UGAUGCUGUGAAAGGGAUGGUCUGACUCCAAAUCUUGGUAUUGGCUGAGUACACAGCUAAUUUCUGAACAUUUGCAUCUUAAAUCCUGUUUUGUGUUUGCAUAGCAGAUAUCUACAUUUGCUGAUGAGUUCCAAAGCUUUGGAGCAACCACCAGAAGAGGCCUCUAUAUUGGAGUAGGAAUCUCUGCUGGGUUGGCUGCUAUGCUUAUUUUUAGUGUUUUAAUUCUCAAAUGGUAUUCUCAUAGGAAAAAGAAACAGAAUUCAA